rnacentral:rRNA from 1 species
UACGUAGGGUGCAAGCGUUGUCCGGAAUUAUUGGGCGUAAAGAGCUCGUAGGCGGUUUGUCGCGUCUGCUGUGAAAAUCCAGGGCUUAACCCUGGACCUGCAGUGGGUACGGGCAGACUAGAGUGCGGUAGGGGAGAUCGGAAUUCCUGGUGUAGCGGUGAAAUGCGCAGAUAUCAGGAGGAACACCGGUGGCGAAGGCGGCCAACUGGUCCGAUACUGACGCUGAGGCGCGAAAGCGUGGGGAGCAAACAGG